AAGCUUUGAAAACAACAAAUGAACUCUUUGCUAAGAGAGUCCCCAGGAAAUUGCAUUGAAGAAUUUCAACUUUGCAGAUAGGAUUCCUGGGGAGAAGGCAACAGGACCUCAACUGGAGAAAACACUGAGAAUGUGUGACCUUCAGAGGGAGAAAUUAGAGCAGGGGGCUGAAAGCCCAGAACAGUUUUCUCGCUCCUGGAAAGCAAUACCCUGAAGCUUCUGGAUUCUGAUUUAUGGAUGAACUUGUGAAACCAUUUAAGUGCUGGAACUGGAGCAACUCAAAAUUGAUCAAACUGAUCCUGCAAUAUUAUGUAGAGGCAGGAACCAUGUGUUCCCAUGCCCCCAUAUUGCUGAAAUAAAUAUAAAUGAUUACAAGACCAGCUUGCAAUGAACUUAAGGAGAGAUGAAGAUUUUCUGCAAUUUCCUGGGUAGUAGAAAACCCAGUGGGUUGGAGGCAAAAGCUAGGUGUAUAGCCCUGGGGGCCGGGGGUGCCCGUGUGCCUAAAUCUCCUCAACUCUGAAAUGAGGGGAUUAGGCUCCAUGGUCUGGAGAUCCUGCCUUUCUGUUCUCUCAGGUGGGUGGAAGCUCAGAAUGUCAGAGGCUCAUAGUGAUCGUUGGGAUAGCUCCCUAGUGGAGUCUUAUUGUUUGAUGAACGGUCUUCUCCCAUACUGUGAUGGGAAGACUAAUAAAAGCAAUGACAAUAUAGUGUGAACGAAGCAUUUUCUCAUUUGGAAGAAAACUAUGGUCUUCACAAACUAUUUGGAAGGUCCAAAAAUAACUUGUACAAUUCAUUGAAUUUUGGAGGAAAAGAAAGUUAUGAUACAGGAGAAAGAAAGAGGUUUAAAAGUGAAGAUGAAAAAAGGUUUGUAAUUUCAUUGGCUAAAAAGGGAUCUAUUGAACAGUAAUUACGGGCACUAAGGAAGCAUUGUCUCUAGUGCAUUUAAAAAGGAGCAUCAAGGCAAAUAUGGGAGCAUGGUGUGGGGUAGUUUUUUUUUUUUUUUUUUCUUUUCCUCGGGGGAAGGGUUGCUUUAUGAAAACCAGAGGCUUUUUUUUGUGGUUUUUUAUUUUUUAAUUUUAGAAAUAAUCCUAUUUUACAUAUCAAUCCCCCAUUCCCUGGCCCUCCCAUCCUCCCAUGGCCCUCACCAGCCCCCCCCACCCCUGCCCACUCCCCAAGGAUAGUGAGGCCGUCAAAAUCUG
rnacentral:lncRNA from 1 species